GACGAACGCUGGCGGCGUGCUCAACACAUGCAAGUCGAGCGAUGAAGCUCCUUCGGGAGUGGAUUAGCGGCGGACGGGUGAGUAACACGUGGGCAACCUGCCUUAUAGAGAGGAAUAGCCAUUCGAAAGGAUGAUUAAUACCUCAUAAUAUUGUAGCUUCGCAUGGAGCAACAAUCAAAGGAGCAAUCCACUAUAAGAGGGGCCCGCGGCGCAUUAGCUAGUUGGUGAGGUAACGGCUCACCAAGACGACGAUGCGUAGCCGACCUGAGAGGGUGAUCGGCCACAUGGGGACUGAGACACGGCCCAGACUCCUACGGGAGGCAGCAGUGGGGAAUAUUGCACAAUGGGGGAAACCCUGAUGCAGCAACGCCGCGUGAGUGAUGACGGCCUUCGGGUUGUAAAGCUCUGUCUUCAGGGACGAUAAUGACGGUACCUGAGGAGGAAGCCUCGGCUAACUACGUGCCAGCCGCCGCGGUAA
rnacentral:rRNA from 1 species